UGAAGUGCUUGCACUUCUGACGUUAGCGGCGAACGGGUGAGUAACACGUAAGGAAUCUACCUAUAAGCGGGGGAUAACAUUCGGAAACGGGUGCUAAUACCGCAUAAUAUCUUCUUCCGCAUGGAAGAAGAUUGAAAGACGGCUCUGCUGUCACUUAUAGAUGACCUUGCGGUGCAUUAGUUAGUUGGUGGGGUAACGGCCUACCAAGACGAUGAUGCAUAGCCGACCUGAGAGGGUGAUCGGCCACAUUGGGACUGAGACACGGCCCAAACUCCUACGGGAGGCAGCAGUAGGGAAUCUUCCGCAAUGGGCGAAAGCCUGACGGAGCAAUGCCGCGUGAGUGAAGAAGGCCUUCGGGUCGUAAAACUCUGUUAUAAGAGAAGAACAAAUUGUAGAGUAACUGCUACAGUCUUGACGGUAUCUUAUCAGAAAGCCACGGCUAACUACGUGCCAGCAGCCGCGGUAAUACGUAGGUGGCAAGCGUUGUCCGGAUUUAUUGGGCGUAAAGGGAGCGCAGGUGGUUUCUUAAGUCUGAUGUGAAAGCCCACGGCUUAACCGUGGAGGGUCAUUGGAAACUGGGAAACUUGAGUACAGAAGAGGAAUGUGGAACUCCAUGUGUAGCGGUGGAAUGCGUAGAUAUAUGGAAGAACACCAGUGGCGAAGGCGACAUUCUGGUCUGUUACUGACACUGAGGCUCGAAAGCGUGGGGAGCAAACAGGAUUAGA
rnacentral:rRNA from 1 species